rnacentral:rRNA from 1 species
GCUUUAACAUGCAGUCGAACGGCAGCACGGGGUUAACGCCUGGUGGCGAGUGGCGAACGGGUGAGUAAUAUAUCGGAACGUACCCAAGAGUGGGGGAUAACGUAGCGAAAGUUACGCUAAUACCGCAUACGAUCCAUGGAUGAAAGCAGGGGACCGCAAGGCCUUGUGCUCCUGGAGCGGCCGAUAUCUGAUUAGCUAGUUGGUGAGGUAAAGGCUCACCAAGGCGACGAUCAGUAGCUGGUCUGAGAGGACGACCAGCCACACUGGAACUGAGACACGGUCCAGACUCCUACGGGAGGCAGCAGUGGGGAAUUUUGGACAAUGGGCGCAAGCCUGAUCCAGCAAUGCCGCGUGAGUGAAGAAGGCCUUCGGGUUGUAAAGCUCUUUUGUCAGGGAAGAAACGGUAGGGGCUAAUAUCCUUUGCUAAUGACGGUACCUGAAGAAUAAGCACCGGCUAACUACGUGCCAGCAGCCGCGGUAAUACGUAGGGUGCAAGCGUUAAUCGGAAUUACUGGGCGUAAAGCGUGCGCAGGCGGUUUUGUAAGUCUGUCGUGAAAGCCCCGGGCUCAACCUGGGAAUUGCGAUGGAGACUGCAAGGCUUGAAUCUGGCAGAGGGGGGUAGAAUUCCACGUGUAGCAGUGAAAUGCGUAGAGAUGUGGAGGAACACCGAUGGCGAAGGCAGCCCCCUGGGUCAAGAUUGACGCUCAUGCACGAAAGCGUGGGGAGCAAACAGGAUUAGAUACCCUGGUAGUCCACGCCCUAAACGAUGUCUACUAGUUGUCGGGUUUUAAUUAACUUUGGUAACGCAGCUAACGCGUGAAGUAGACCGCCUGGGGAGUACGGUCGCAAGAUAAACCA